ACGAUGAAUCACUCAAACUUUUUCCAGUCUGUGCGGAGUUCAGAAAUUGUUGAACUUUUUCCAUCUCUGCAACCAAAAUAAAGCACGAAUCAGAAGAUUGAGACCAAGGGCGGAGAAUUGGGAUAGUUACAAACGAGAAACUUCCAGAACAAACCUGCUAGAGCAUCAGAAGCAUCAGGCGCCAUGAAUUUCUCUUGUUAUUACUCUCUAUAAUCUAUCUAAUUCUCGGUUUUGGAAAGAUGAUUAGAGAAGAAUAUGUGAAAUUUGAGCUCAAGAGUAAGAGAAAGUGAAGCAGUGUUGAAGAAGGC
rnacentral:lncRNA from 1 species